rnacentral:rRNA from 3 species
UGCAGAAUCCCGUGAACCAUCGAGUCUUUGAACGCAAGUUGCGCCCCAAGCCUUUUGGCCGAGGGCACGUCUGCCUGGGUGUCACAA